rnacentral:RNase_P_RNA from 4 species
CUAGUUUAAAAGACGGCUAUCCGGUUUUUUUAAUAAAAACUGGAAGGAAAGUCCGGACGCUAGCCGGCAGAUAAUGCCGGUUUCAGGCAGUCGCUAACAGCGACGAGGAGUGAUCCUACGGAAAGCGCAACAGAAAAUAUACCACUCCACCUAAGGCGGAGAAAGGGUGAAAUCGUGCGGUAAGAGCGCACGCGUCCGAGGCGUAAGUUUCGGAUGUGGCAAACCCUGCCUGGCGCAAGGCCGUAUUCCAACGCUUUUAUGUUGGUUUGUGCCGCUUGAUCCCGAUGCGCAAGCUUCGGGACAGACAAAUUGCCGUCAAAUACAGAAUCCGGCUUAUUUUAAACUGGCAAA